rnacentral:rRNA from 1 species
AGCAGCCGCGGUAAUUCCAGCUCCAAUAGCGUAUAUUAAAGUUGUUGCAGUUAAAGAGCUCGUAGUUGAAUUUCGGGAUCAGUACGCUGGUCGUGCCUUUGGUAUGUACUGGUGUCACUGAUUCCUCCCUUCUGAAGAACCGUUAUGCCAUUUAUUUGGUGUGGCGGGAAAUCAGGACUGUUACUUUGAAAAAAUUAGAGUGUUUAAAGCAGGCUCGCGCUUGAAUACAUUAGCAUGGAAUAAUGAAAUAGGACGUUUGAUUCUAUUUUGUUGGUUUCUAGGAUCGACGUAAUGAUUAAUAGGGAUAGUUGGGGGCAUUAGUAUUCAAUUGUCAGAGGUGAAAUUCUUGGAUUUAUUGAAGACUAACUACUGCGAAAGCAUUUGCCAAGGAUGUUUUCAUUAAUCAAGAACGAAAGUUAGGGGAUCGAAGACGAUCAGAUACCGUCGUAGUCUUAACCAUAAACUAUGCCGA